ACUUUAAUGACCCAAGCCAGAGCAAUCAGCACCAGAUCGAGUCGAGUGGCUCUCAGCCAAUUAAAUUACGCUGUUUGAUCACAUGACACCGUUAGCCAGCAGUGUGUCUCCUAAAAGAGAGCUGUUUAAAGGUGGAAAAGACCCGUCACCUUCUGGGAGAGGCGGCUCCCGUGGGAACAGCUCCCACCACCAAGUCCCUGAGUGAGUCUCUGUCCCCCAGCGUGAGCUCCAGCACUCUGUCCACGUCCACCUCCGCCUCCUCGCAGAUCUCCAGCACCACCUUUGAAAGCGUGAGAAGGAGCUGGCCACCAAGUGCCUGCGCCUUCUGACACACACCUUCAAUACUGAAUACAACCAGCUGGUGAACAGCAUCAGUGACUGCAAGCUUUCUCUCAUCUCACCGAUCGGACGUGAUCCAUCCGUGACGAGCUUCAGCAGUGCCACCCUCACCCCUUCCUCUACCUGCCCCUCUCUCGGACUCCCGCUGUGGCUCCAUGGGCCAGAAGACCCCUGAGAACAGCUCACGUGCCUCCAGUCCCUCCUGCUCAGACUGUGAAAACUUCCCGAUGGUUCCCACUCUGGAGACCUCCUACCUUGCGCGGGCUGCAAAAGAACGAGUUCCUGAACUUGGUGCCUGAUAUUGAAGAAAUGCGAC